UACAGAGGUCUCAAGCGUUGUUCGGAUUCAUUGGGCGUAAAGGGUGCGUAGGUGGCGCCGUAAGUCGGGUGUGAAAUUUCGGAGCUUAACUCCGAAACUGCAUUCGAUACUGCGGUGCUUGAGGACUGGAGAGGAGACUGGAAUUCAUGGUGUAGCAGUGAAAUGCGUAGAGCUCGGGAAGAACAUCGGUGGCGAAAGCGCUCUACUGGACGACAACUGACACUCAGGGACGAAAGCUAGGGGAGCGAAUGGG
rnacentral:rRNA from 1 species